rnacentral:rRNA from 1 species
ACAUGCUUAAACGCCCGACUUUAUGGAAGGGUGGUAUUUAUUAGACUGAAGCCAAUAUUCCUUGUGUCUAUUGCGGUGAUUCAUAAUAACUGAUUGAAUCUCUUUUUGAGAUAAAUCAUUCAAGUUUCUGCCCUAUCAGCUUUCGAUGGUAGUGUAUUGGACUACCAUGGCAGUAACGGGUAACGAAGAAUUAGGGUUCGAUUUCGGAGAGGGAGCAUGAGAAACGGCUACCACAUCUAAGGAAGGCAGCAGGCGCGUAAAUUACCCAAUCCUGACUCAGGGAGGUAGUGACAAGAAAUAGCAAACCGGGAACCUCAUGGUUUCACGGUAUUGCAAUGAGAACAAUUUAAAACCCUUAGCGAGAAUCAAGUGGAGGACAAGUCUGGUGCCAGCACCCGCGGUAAUUCCAGCUCCACUAGCGUAUAUUAAAGUUGUUGCAGUUAAAAAGCUCGUAGUUGAACCUCUGUCUGGGGCUAGUUUUGGCUUUGGUCAGGCUAGUUCUAGGCAUCCGCCUACAAGACUUAGAGGGCAUUCAGUUGUUCACUAGGAGGAGUAGGCAUUUUACUUUGAAAAAAAUUAGAGUGUUUAAGGCAGGCAAUCGCCCGCAUAUAUUAGCAUGGAAUAAUAGAAUAGGACACUUUUCCAUUUCGUUGGUUAUUGGAAUCGUGUAAUGAUUAAUAGGGACAGUUGUGGGCAUUUGUAUUUAAUUGUCAGAGGUGAAAUUCUUGGAUUUAUUAAAGACAAACUAACGCGAAAGCAUUUGCCAAGGAUGUUUUCAUUAAUCAAGAACGAAAGUUAGGGGAUCAAAGACGAUCAGAUACCGUCCUAGUCUUAACUAUAAACUAUUCCGUCUCAAUGUUUGACUGGCUUAUAUAACCAGUUGAGCGUUGUAUGAGAAAUCAAAGUCUUUAGGUUCUGGGGGGAGUAUGGUUGCAAAGCUGAAACUUAAAGGAAUUGACGGAAGAGCACAACCAGGAGUGGAUUCUGCGGCUUAAUUUGACUCAACACGGGGAAACUUACCAGGUUAAAACAAUAGUGGGAUUGACAGUUUGAGAGCGCUUUCUUGAUUGGUUGGGUGGUGGUGCAUGGCCGUUCUUAGUUGGUGGAGUGAUUUGUCUGCUUAAUUGCGUUAACGAACGAGACCUUAACCUGCUUACUAGACUGGCGAUCAUCAAUCGUUAGCUCUUCUUAGAGGGACUUUGGUUGUUUUAACUCCAAGGAAGUUUGAGGCAAUAACAGGUCUGUGAUGCCCUUAGAUAUCCUGGGCCGCACGCGUCAUACAAUGACUAGUUCAGAAAGUUUUCUCCUGACCCGAAAGGGGAUGGGUA